GAGCAAAGGAUUACAUCCUAACUUUAAGAAUAACUAUUAGGUCAAAAGAGAACAUGCACUAGAAAGAGAGAACAAGAAAACCAGGACUGCACCGGAAUGCCUUCCUUGUCCCCAAACGCACGCACAUUUCAAACUUUUAGGAGAUAAAGCCAUGAUAGUUCCAGUUGAUGAAAUACAUCAGCACCAAGAAAUCCACAGCCUGAGAUUUCUCUCUAUCUCUCUUUUUUUUGGGGGGGGGUCGUUUUAGGGCUGCACUCACAGCAUAAUAUGGAAGUUCCACUCAAGGCAAUGCCAGAUCCUUAACCCACUGAGCCAGACUGGGGAUCGAAUCCACGUGCAUUACCCAAUUCAUUACCACUGAGCCAUAGCAGGAACUUCAGAUUUCUCAUUUUAAAAAGCAUCAGUACUUUGGGUGUUUUUUUGUUUUUGUUUUUGACCCUCCCAACAAUCAGGAGAAGAACACAUGUAUCAGUAUUGUUUUCACAAGUGAGGAAACCAAAAGCACAGACUGAUGAUGGAGUUGCCUCAUUUCACUCAGCUAGUCAGUGGCAGAGACAGGCUGAGAACCCCAAGAUGGCCUAGUACUGCAAACAUUCUCAAGAAAACUGAAAUAGGGACAGAAAACACACAGAAGGAAAAGGAAGUUCAUUUCUCCUAUUUGGACCAUGUGAAAUACACAGGCAUAUCUAGUGCCCAUGCUGGCUUGGGAAGGGAAGUCUAGUGGAGCCACAUGCCUGCAACAGAGGGUCCCUGCUUUGCACCCUGGGGGAGGACACUCGAGAACUGAUGGGAAGCAUUUGGUUUCCAUUCCAACAUGAGAGCUUGGAGGCUGACCACACUUAAAUUCAACCACUCUUCUUAGAUCUAUCUCAGAGCUCAGGUCACAGAACAAACUAUUGCUUGAAAACUGGAGAGACAGAAAGAUAGAUACAGAGAUUCACAACUUACAGGAGCAGAAACUACUGUUGCAGCCAGCAACAAGGUCACAGAUGGAUAGCUGGAGACUGCGCACAGACUAUCAUGAGAGGGGAAAACUCUUGAGAACCCACUCUUAGACAGGCUCCCAUACUUUUGUGAGUUUUUAUCACCAGGAGCCCCAUCAGGAUCUCAGGGUGAAGACUGUAGAAAAAUUCCCUUGUGCUUUUGGCAAGGGGUGAGGAACAGAAAUCAUUUUGAAACAAGCAGAAUGCCCUUUUCCACUUAAGAAAGGCCUCUCCUCAAGGAAAACAAUUUUACUGGAGACUAGCCAAUGUGAGGGAAGGGUAAAAUACCCAACUCCAGCCCUCCCGGCCCUGCCCCCUAGCCUACCUGUCUUACUUAAGGGGGAGAUAAAGGCUGAGAAGCAUUUGAGAAGGUCACAACCCUCAAGGGAGACAGGCCACUAAAAAACUGAGACUGAUCACAGGACUAUGGGCUGCUUCUUUCCUCCUACACCUCACCACCACACCAGCAGGUCUCCUGUAUGUUAAUGAGGGAUUACAAUUCAAAGAACUGAAAGGCUAAGAUUCCUUUUUAGGAGUUUCUAAGGAAACUCAGACAGUAGACAAAAACAGGAUACCAAAUGAAAUUUUAGCCCCAGCAAGUACAGCAAAGAGUUAAAUACAGCUUUUAACCAGAUAGACAUAAAACCUCACACUACAGGGCCAAAUUGCCUUAGUUCUCUUUACUCAACACAUCAUUUCUAGCAUACAACCGAAAAUUACAAGACAUACUAAAAGGCAAAAGCACAGUGCAAAGAGACAAAGCAAGAAUUAGACCCAAACUGAGAGAUUUGGGAAUUAUCAGACAGAAAAUUUAAAGUAACAAUAACUAAUAUGCUCAGGGUUUCAAAAGGAAAAGUGGACAAUAUGCAAGAAAAGAUGUGUAACAUAAGCAAAGAGACAAACUCUAAGGAAGUAUAAAAAGAAAAAUGCUAGAAACCAAAAACAUAAUAACAGAAAGAAAGAAUGCUUCUGAUGGGUUCAGUACUAGACUAGACACAGCUGAAAAAAGAAUCGCUGAGCUCAAAGAAAUGUCAGUAGAGAUAUCUCAAACUGUAAAACCAAGAGGAAAAGAAUGAAAGAAACAGAGCAGACUCUCCAAGGACUGUGAGAUAAUUAAAAAAGGUAUAACAUGUAUGUAGUGGAAAAGAAUAUAAGCGAUAUUUAAAUAAUGGCUGAGAACAUUCCACAGUUAGGAACAGACACCAAAAUACAGAUAUAAGAAGCUCAGAGAAACAAAACAGAUUAAAAGGAAAGAAAUGAAUAUGAAUAUAUAUUUACACUUAAGCAUGCCAUAUUAAAACAACAAAAAACCAAAGACAAAGGGAAGAUCCUGAAAGAAGACAGAGGAAAAGACCUCUUACCUACAGAAGAACAAGGAUGAGAAUUAGAUCAGACUUUGCUUCAUAGACCAUGAAAGCAAGACUAAAGUGGAGUGAAAUAUUUAAAUUGCUAAAAGAAGAAAGCCACUAUACCUAGUGAAAUUAUCCUUCAAAAGUAAAGGGAGGACAGAUUUUCUCAAACUAAAGUGGAGGGAAUUUGUUGCCAAUAGGCCUGAUUUGCAAGAAGUUUUAGAAUUUUUUCAGAGAAGAAAAUUGAUAUAUAUUAGAAACUCAUAUCCACAUAAACAAAGGAAGAAAGAAUAAGUGAAUGAAAUCUUUUAUGUUUCUGAUUCUUAGUUGGUCUAACAAGAUAACUUUUUGUUCAAAAUAACAGCAGCAAAAGAACUGGGGCUUACAGCUUAUAGAGAAAUGAAAUAAAUAAAAUAUCCCAUGUCAUAGAACCUAAUAGCAGGGUUUGAUUAUGAGACAACGAAUAGAAGGAGACCAUCUUCAAGCAUUGCAAGGCAAUUUUUCUUUUUCUUCCUUUUUUUUUUUU
ensembl:lncRNA